UUCUCGAAGUUGACGUAUUCGGUCCGAAAGAAAUUCGACUGCUAGACGCGUUAGUCUAAUUUUAUAUCGUUAAUUGAAUUAUGAGUGUACAAAACAUAACUAAUCAUGCGACCGACAAUUGUUGUCAUGAGACAAAGUUGGUGAUAUUAUUAUACAUAUAUUGAUCGACACAAGUAUAGCAACGGAAAAGGACCAUCUUCGUUUUCGCUGAAUAAUAAUUUCGUAAAGUUUCGUAAUUACUUGAUAGACAUCGUUUAUUGUUAUCUUUGUUUGCUAUUAUAAAAUGUCUAUGCGUCGAUGAAAUAAAUUCGGGUGUUCGACGAAAGCUCCGUUUGUCUUUACCUACGAUUAUUGUAGUCUGCAAAAAAGUAUGUGUUCAGUAUAUACAUAAUUAUACAAAUAUACUCUUUUGUUGUAUGUUAUUGAUAUAAUAUAGGAAGUCACAUAUGUUUAUUGAUAUUUUUAGACAUUUAUUUAGUAUACCAAGAGGAAGUUAAUAUUCAAUAAAUACGGGAUAUUGAAAUUCAUAACUAGUUUUAAGUAUGUUUUUUUAUCUUCAAUUAUUUUUUUGUACGAUCAAUUAAUUGAUUAAUUUUUUUUUUAUUUGCAAAAUGUGUCUGGGAAUCGAUAUUGUUAAGCGACAACUUAGUUACAAUGCUUAGUAAUACUAAGUAAUAAUACACCUUAUCGAUUGGUGAGCAGUAAUGAAUAUCUGUAUUUAAAUAUUGCACUGACUAAUCAAUAUUGAAAGUUUUCUAAUUUAUCAUCAGGAUAUUUUAUCAGGAGAAUAAAUUUUUACGUUUCUAACGAGAGAAGGAUUUCUUGACUUUUCAUGGAAAAUGAUUUCUACUUUACCGAUAAUGGAUAUAAAAAUGUUCUUUACGUUUGCUUUUCAUUGCUUAAUAUAUUCUAUUAUACUUUAUUAGCUUGAUGGAAAUGUUAUAGAUAGGUCUGUAUGUAUAAAUAAAUAUUAUCUGUCACUAAUUAUUUUUGCAAAAAUAAUAUCAAAGCAAAAAGAACGGAAGAGUAAAAUGUGUAAUAAAUAACUUAAUCCUAGACCAAGGACUAUAUGUUUGCUUUUAACGCAAAACUUUUAUAUUGAAUAAUUUUGGACGAUAUGAUCUGCGGGCGAUACAAUUCUGUCUAAUGUUUAUAUAUUUUUAUUUUCAAAUACAGUUCUAGAACGAAACUUAUAAACAAUACAUUUUAUGUGUUUACAACGAAGGACUGAUGUCAUUUAUUUGUGAUAUAGAAAUUGAAUAUUUAGUAUCAGCUCUUUAAACUGUAAUUUUCUAACGAUUUAUUAAGAAAUAAUAAUAGUUAGUAAAUAGAAUGCAUGCAUGUAAUAUUUAAUAAUAAAUGUUCAUAAUUUAGAUGAGGUGAAUCGUAAUAUCAUUGAAAAAACAAGGGAAUCAAUACUACAUGAUUCUCGCGUUAGAUGUCUCGAUUUUUUCGGGGAUAUUUGAUCCAUCAUAAAAUCAUUCAUCGUUAGGUAUAUAGUGUAUUACAAUUCCUCCUAUUAAUUAAUCGCUAAUAAUAUCGAAAAUCUAUUAUGUGCAUUUUUAAACGAAGAAGAAAGACUAUCACAUCGUACGCCACAUGAAACUGCCGUAGAUACAAAGCAGAAUAAUGAAUCGGAACUCGUCUUACCUGCUUAUUCGCAAAUAAUUGAUAAAAUGGUUCCCGUGACAGAUUUUGUGGUACUGGAGUUUGGAGACAUUUCUGAAGAAAAGCAUAUUGCUCCAUGUGUUCGGUAGGAAGGAAGUGUACGGGUUUAUAUCGAAAAAGACGAUAGAAUUCAAGAGAAUUUAAAUUCAUGUGGUCUCUUUAGAGAAAUUCUAUACAGGAGGAGGAGAUUAUGUUUUCUCUCGUUAUGCUGAAUGUUUUUUCUUGGGUCUUGACAUCCCGUAUUCCAAGAUGGCUUCUUGUAAUAUCUUUUCUUUUUGGCAACAUCUAUAGUUAUUUUAGUUUAAUCGUUCAUUCUUAUUUUUUAUACAUCCAAUUUUAGGAAUAUGUAUUUUUUCUUUGGAUAUCGGUUACAUUCACAAAAUCCUGGAGAUUUUAAAAAAUAGAGAUCGUCAUUCAUUGAAUUACCAUACAUUUAAUAUUUUCAAACUAUUAAGCAAAAAUAAUCGUAUUCAUAUAUCCCAAAAUAUUUGGAAGGUAUUAUCUGAUAUUUUUAUUGGUUGAAUUCACAUCGAAUUAUAGAAUAUUGUAGCGUAUGAAAAUGACGUUCGCAUUAACUAGAAUGAAAAAUUUUCAUUAAAAUAAUUUUUUUUAUUGAUGUCUGUUAUUGCGGAGUAUAUUGUACCAUGGCAAAAUUAUAAUGGCCUAGUACGAUAACUCCUUUCAUAGAUAAAUUGCAUGGCACCGUGCACUUCAUUAUGAAAAAGUGUAACAUUUUCUGUAUUUUCAAUGAUAACGAGUAAAAUGGUACUUGACAUCUGUAAGGAAUAAUUUAUUAUUUAUAUCACAGUGAAUUAGGUAUCUAAUUAAAGUAAAUUAAGAAAAAUACCUACAAUUUUAUAUAUAUUUCUGUGUGAUAGUCUAUCAACUUUUGUCCAAGAUAAUUAUAAAUAUAUAUUACGAACAUAGAUCCGAUAAUAUAAAUACAUUUCUGCAAUCCUUCAUUCGUAUUCGUCGAAUAAGAAAGUAACUGAAACAACUGGAAUGAAAAUUUAUGCCUUUUUAAUUUCGCAAAUAAGAGAUCCAAAAUUUUUUCUAUAUCAAUUAUUUACAUAAACGUAAUUUACGAUGAUAAAAAGUAGCGUCAAUAACACUUCGAACGGAUAAAUAUUUUCAAGGUACAACUUCAUUAAAUCUGCAAAUCUUGGAAAAACGCAAUAAUAAGAAGAAUAAGUAAUAAUAUUAGUAUUAACAAUUAGCACUUUUGCAACUGAAUUUAUAUACUUAGUGUAUAAAUUAUAAAGAGAAUUGGCUUGUAAAAUUGGAUACAAACUCGAUGGCGUUAUCAUAGGACUCUAUGAUAUCGACGAGCCACUUGUACUCCUGUGUGAAUUUAUUACAAUUACUGGCAUCGUUCAAUUUAUCUGUGUUACAUUCAAAUCCUUUCUCUAUCUUCAUACUGUGAAAAAGAAAGAGUACUGUGAAUUACGGAAAAAAGAACUUUAGAUUGAAAAUAUUUAUUCCGUGAUACAUCGUCUUGAUUAAUUAUUUACGCGAUUAUAUUAAAUAGUGCAAAGGUAUGUUGUACAAUUAAUACAAACAUAGAGUAGUGUGCAAUUCCUAUCGUGCUUAUGAUGAAUAUGAAAACGCAUUCCAAUAAAAGUGUCAAAUAGUAAUUCAUUUGAUCUUUCAUAAAAUUAUCGACAAAUUGGCAAGGUUAAUUCAGUUUCAUUUGCUUCAUCAAAAUUAUACAGAGGGAUAUGUAGAACGGAUGGCAAUAUCAAAGAAAUUAUAUAUAGAUAAAAUGCAACUGAAAUAGUAAAAGCAAUUAAUCAUCUUAUUCUAUUGUAAAAUUUUAAUUUUUUAAAAGUUUAAUAAUAUAUUUUUAUUUUUUUUCACUUGCGAUUAUUAUUGUGUACGUUCUUGUACGAUUAGCAUAUUCUUUUAAGAUUAUUAGUUCUGGUUUGUGUGCCAGAUUAUCCCAAUCGCAUUUUACGUGACGCAGAAUUUUUUUCAUCUGAAAGUUUAACGAUACAUUGUUUUUUGUAACACGCGCUUUUGUCACUUCUGAUUAAAAGUGAAGUAUUUGAACCAAGUACGGACGAUUGUAACAUGUGACAAUAAAUUGUAGUAACAUGUUGCGAAGCAGAGAGAAGGCAAGGUCGUUUCCAUCAAUUUAGUGAUCGGAACUACCUUCAUUUCUGAUGUGAUGAGCAAAUAAAUCUAAAGUAGAACUAAUUGUUAUUUAUAUCUAAUAAUUGGUCUUUUAUAUUCCAAUCAUUUGCUUGUACAUUCUAAUGAUAUAUUAAUAUAAUCAAGUAUCAGAAGUAGUUUUACCUGUAAAAGUAAUCCGACGACUAUCAUAAAGUUUAAAACACAAAUGUAUAUCAAUUGCUUUGGCGACAUAUCAUAACGCCAAAUACCUAUUAAUUUGAAAAAUCGAAAAUUAUAAGUAUAGUACUUGCUUCUAAAAUACACGUCAUUUUGCAGACCCAUAGUGAUAACUUGUAUGAGUCAUUGACUUUGACUGACUUCAACCCCAUGCUUUUUCCUGCAUCAUGUAUUCUAAUUUCCCCUUGUAAUAAAUUCUGAAAAUAAUAAACGUAAAUGUACGUAUGAAAAAUUGUAUCGAAGUGAUAGAAAGUGUUUUUGUGUAGCAAUAAUUUAUGUAAUAUCUAUACCCCAUCGUACGUGUCUCCCCUUUUAUGUUUACCGUACAUAACUGAACGAAUGUUUCUUCCUAACCAUUAAGUAAUUAUUUGUCAUUUUCUCUUUACAUUGUUGUUUCUUUUUUCCCUUCCACGAGGAACUUGCGCGGCUUGUACAAAGUCCCUUCUAUGAAGGACAUGCGCGUUCUGUACGGAGUAUCUUCUUUGUUUCAUUCUCUCACAGUAUGAUUUUGCUUCUCGAAGUUGACGCAUUGGUCCGUAACAAAUUCGAGUUCUAGUCCCCUUUGUGUAAUUUUAUAUCGUUAAUUGAAUUAUAAGUGUACAAAACAUAACUAUUCAUGAGACGGACAAUUGUUGUCUCCUUGUCAUGAGACGAUGGUGAUAUUAUCAUACGCAUGACGAUCGUCACAAGUAUAGCAACGGAAAAGGACCAUCUUUAUUUUCGAACAACUGCAAUAUCGUAUGCCUUAAGUAACCGAAGAAGAUAAAAAAGAAAAUAAUGAACGAGAACUCGUCUCACUUGGCUGUUCGCAAAUAAGUGAUAAAAAGACUCCUGUGACAGACAUGUCAAACAUUAUGGUAAAUAAAAUUAAUCGAAUUCCGAGUACGUCAUCGAAUGUAACUCAGUGAUUUAGAAAAUAUCUUGUGGAGCUGAAAUUUGGAGACAAUUUUGAAGAAGAACAUAUUGCUCAAUGCGUUUGGUAGGAAGGUUUAUAUGGAAAAAAACGAUAGGAUUCAAUAGAGUAUGUUUUACCGAGCCAAAAUGAUAAUGGGAUAAUACGAUUAUUCCUUUCAUAGAUAAAUUGCAUGGCACCGUGCUCUUCAUUAUGAAAAAGAGUAAUAUUUUUUGCGUCUUCAACGAUAAGGAGUAAAAUGGAA